rnacentral:rRNA from 1 species
CAGCCGCCGCGGGAACACCGAGGGUGCAAGCGUUAAUCGGAAUUACUGGGCGUAAAGCGCGCGUAGGUGGUUUGUUAAGUUGGAUGUGAAAGCCCCGGGCUCAACCUGGGAACUGCAUCCAAAACUGGCAAGCUAGAGUACGGUAGAGGGUGGUGGAAUUUCCUGUGUAGCGGUGAAAUGCGUAGAUAUAGGAAGGAACACCAGUGGCGAAGGCGACCACCUGGACUGAUACUGACACUGAGGUGCGAAAGCGUGGGGAGCAAACAGGAUUAGAUACCCCGGUAGUCCCUGUCUCUUAUAC